GAGGGGUCCGCGUCCGAUUAGCUAGUUGGUAGGGUAAUGGCCUACCAAGGCCACGAUCGGUAGCCGGCCUGAGAGGGUGAUCGGCCACACUGGAACUGAGACACGGUCCAGACUCCUACGGGAGGCAGCAGUGGGGAAUUUUGCGCAAUGGGCUAACGCCUGACGCAGCAACGCCGCGUGGAGGAUGAAGGUCUUUGGAUUGUAAACUCCUGUCAGCGGGGAAAAAGCGACUCGUGCUCAUACCACGGGGAGUUGAUUGUACCCGCAGAGGAAGCCCCGGCUAACUCUGUGCCAGCAGCCGCGGUAAUACAGAGGGGGCAAGCGUUAUUCGGAAUUAUUGGGCGUAAAGGGCGCGUAGGCGGCUUGGCAAGUGGAAGGUGAAAUCCCUCGGCUUAACCGAGGAACUGCCCUCCAAACUGCUUUGCUUGAGGCCGGGAGAGGUGAGUGGAAUUCCCAGUGUAGCGGUGAAAUGCGUAGAUAUUGGGAGG
rnacentral:rRNA from 1 species